rnacentral:tRNA from 1 species
GGAGGUGAAGCUCAAGUGGUAGAGCGCAUGCUUAGCACGCAUGAGGUCCUGACCUCAAUUCCCAGUACCUCCU